UCCUGCUUGCAUUGCAGCACGGGUGGAAUACAAGCUCACGACAGCAAGUACAUAAUCUUCAACAAGAAGACAGACAGAAGAGCUUUCUGCUUCUCAGCACUGUUGGAAGUUAAGCUCACUGAACCAUGUAUUGUUAGCAGAUCGUUAAGCUGCAACAGAUUGAUGGAAAAGAAAUCGACUUUUGGGAGAUCCACUCCUCGAGGUGUACAUAAAGGGAUUCUCUCAUUCUCUACAAGUGACAAUACCAGUGGUGCCACUGCAAGGCUAAAAAAGAAUGAUGCCCUUGGGGCCAGAUGUGCAUGGCGCUAUAGUAAUGUGUGGGGAUCAAGGCAGAAGCAGAUGCACAGAGGGGAAUUGGACACAAACUCAAUACCUAGCGUUUCUCAGACCAACACAAAAGAGCCAGGUGAAUUUGCAGUAGCAGCUCUAGAGCAAAAGCAUGGACUUCUAUCAGCUUUACCUCCUAUAUACUAUCAAGAGGACCAGUAGAGACCGAGGAGCUGCCGCUACCAAGCCAGCACACACCCCUGAGCACUUCCUUCACUGUGCAAGCAAAACACCAGCACCACGACUCCCAGGACUGAAAGAGCACUGUUUCAAACACUGUGGACGUGGAUUGGGAAUUUAUUGUAUAUUUUUGUUUGGGUCUGCAAGCCCAUCAUGUACCCCCCAUUACCAUUGCUGGUAGAGGGAUGGCCCUUUUUGUUAUUUAUUAAUAAACACAGAUGUUUUUGGGAGAAUCACUGUGUGUACAGUCCUUGUAUACAACACACCACUUGCAUCCUGAUCACAGUUGGUGACCAGAAGUGGGAGACUAGAUGGAUGUGGCUGCAUUGGGAGUGAUGUUGGGGGCACAGGAGCAGAGACACUAGGAGGGAAUCGCAGCCCUGAUGGAGCGGAUAUACAGCAUGUUCCUGGAGGCCAGUCAGGCGACUGAACCAACAGUGCCCCUACCAAGGACGAGGGUGGUAAGAAUGUCGCUGGAGAAUGAUCCCAAGGCCUAUCUGGUAGCCUUCGAGAGGCAGGCAACUGCAGCACAGUGGCUUCAGGGGUGGUUGACUACCCAGAUGGGACCCAGUUUGAUCAGGGAGGCCAAAAUGGACAGUACAGUGUUAGGGGGCAUUUGAUAUGAUUAAGAAGUGACUCUGUCAAGCUCCCGCUCUGAUUUCACCAGAUUUUAGUAAAGAGUUCAUCCUUCAGACUGAUGCCUCCCAGAUUGAUCUGGGGGCGGUCCUGUCCCAACACUUUGAUGAAGUAGAACACCCUAUCAUUUACCUGAGCAAAAAAAUGGCUCCUAGGGAGAUUAGCGACUCCGUCACUGACAUUCUUGGGAGAAUCACUGUGUGGACCGUCCUUGUAUACAGCACACCACUUCCAUCCUGAUAACAGUGUUCUAUGAGAAAAGGUUUUACAGGUCUGAACCAGGGUCAUUUGACAAUUUAAAGGAACAUUUUAUUAGAUUGGGUUUCAUUGCAAACGGCGGGGUAGCUAAAUGAAAAGAGAACUGGAGGAAAAUGAGUAGAUGUUAUUAAGCCAAAAGGCUACUCUAGAGCCCAAGCUCUUUAAAUAGUGCAUUAAAUUUGAAACUCAUUUACUACGCACAAUUUAACAUUGCCCCAAGAGAGAAACAGAGAGGAUAUUUUGAGAUCAGCAAAAUAGUUAUGAGCUCUAAAUGGCUUUAAUGAAACAACACGUAAGAGUGAACCUGUUGUCGGUUUUUAAAUGCUAUAUAAAAUGUUUGUAUCAGUGAAAAAAGAUGUAUGUGUGUUGGAAAUAAUUUGUUCUUGUUCAUUGCAUGUCUUAUUUGCAUAUUUGAUUAUUACAAUCGGAAUGAUUACGCAAAACUGCAACAUGAUCAUGUAUCUUUUUUGGAAAGAUAAGUCAUAAUAAUUAAGCACUAAUGAGCAAAAAUGCGUGUUGUGCCGAGAUCUUGCAUGGCUAAUUUUUUACCCAUUACAGUAAACUGCAGGAUGAAGCUGUUGUGAGCUGUAUAAUUUUACUAGCUUUCUAUAUUAAAAUCAGUGGUCACUCGGAUGGCCUGUGUCACAGGGUGGAGGCUGGCAGUGAACCGGCAAUAGUUCACACCGCAAUGGAGUGACCACUAUACAAGUGGAGUAAAACCCCUUCUGGGGUCAAAUGAAAAUAAAUGUGAUCACAAUUCCC